rnacentral:misc_RNA from 1 species
GUGGAUCCCUGGCUUGUGGGUCGAUGAAGAACGCAGCAAACUGCGCGUCAUCAUGUGAACUGCAGGACACAUGAACAUCGACAUUUCGAACGCACAUUGCGGCCCUGGGACUUGUUCCCGGGCCACACCUGACUGAGGGUCGGUAGACCAUAUCUCACGAUACGACCAGACUGUCCUCUCUUCGGAGAGGCGAGAAUGGAGUCUUCCGAGGCAAGAUGGGUCUCCCCCGAUUAGUUUCGGAGUGGGGGCCCCUUGCCUUGGUACUCUUAAAGCACGAGGCGUUGGCGCGGCGGAGUUGAUAGAAAUUGAUUUUUCUUUGUCUUCUCCGUACCGCGUCGGCGUCGCCGUUUGAUCAGCUGUCUCUGUAUCCGGAGCGACUGAGUCCGUGGCUUGUCAAAAGAGCAGUGCGCGACGCAGUCACCUUCUGCGUUGCGCCGCAUCAGAAACACCCUACCGGUGUCCUGGCAACAUCCCAUCAGCUUGUUCCAGGACUUGGGAUAUUCGUAUUGAUGCGUCGAGCCACACGAAAAAGGACUCUUUCCGUCUCUCGCGAYGCAGCGGCUGUGAUGGCACGCAAGAUAAAGGAUGUGAGGAGGAGAGCGAGGGAAGCAAUUGCCCCCGUCUCUCCUCCUCGUUUCUCUAUCUCUCUCGUCACGACCUCAGUUCAGGUGAGACUACCCCCUGAAUUUAAGCAUAUUACUAAGGGGAGGAAAAGAAACUAAC